rnacentral:rRNA from 1 species
UGGGGAAUAUUGCACAAUGGAGGGAACUCUGAUGCAGCGACGCCGCGUGAGUGAUGAAGGAAUUCGUUUCGUAAAACUCUGUUCUAUGGGAAGAAAAGGACUGUACCAUAGGAGAAAGCUCCGGCUAAAUACGUGCCAGCAGCCGCGGUAAUACGUAUGGAGCGAGCGUUGUCCGGAAUUAUUGGGCGUAAAGGGUGCGCAGGCGGCUUUACAAGUUGGAUGUGAAAUAUUGUGGCUCAACCACAAACGUGCAUCCAAAACUGCAAAGCUUGAGUUAAGGAGAGGUAAGUGGAAUUCCUGGUGUAGAGGUGGAAUGCGUAGAUAUCAGGAGUAAUACCGGUGGCGAAGGCGACUUACUGGACUUAAACUGACGCUCAGGCACGAAAGCGUGGGGAGCAAACAGG